AGGUAGUAUUAAAAUAGAAACCUAUAUGGUUUGGCGGCAUUUCAUCUUAUUAGAGGAACAUGUUUAAUAAUCGACACCUCACGAUACAUUUCACUUAUUAUUUAAUCUUAUAUACCUCCGUCCCGAAUAAAUUCAAAAUUCUUAUCCUCAAAAACAUUAUAGCAGAAUAGGUAAAGGUGUAGACAAUAAAUAAGCUAAAAUGUGUUACCUUAAAAAUAAUUUAAGGAAAAUUAAUCAUAACGAAUUCAGAAACCGGAUUUAAAAGUAAUAUAUAAAUAGUAUUUUCAUAUGAAUCAGAAAAUAAAUGUGC
rnacentral:rRNA from 1 species